AUUAGGACUGGCUCCAAAACACUUGUUGUUCUCAACUCUAACGAUGUCGCCAAGGAGGCUAUGGUGACAAGAUUCUCGUCGAUCUCAACAAGAAAGCUAUCAAAUGCAAUAAAGAUCCUUACUUGUGAUAAAAGCAUAGUUGCCCUGACUGAUUAUGGUGAAUUUCAUA